AGAGACAAGGUUCAAUCGACCAAUAUGGAAUGAUGACUAUGAUAAAACCGUCACAGAACAAUCAUCUAUUUUUCCACGAAUAUAUCGUACAUUAGGGAAGCCUGAGGAUUGUCUACUAGAUAAAGUUGCAUUUACACAAACACAUUAAUAUGUUCUGUUUAACAGCAGCGUACUCAUCCCAUUUCUUGAAGAACGCAUGGACGUUGUUAAGCAGAAGAAUCUUCGCGCACGACCAAGGGAUAUAGAACGCAUUCACAAUGAAACAUUUCAUUAAUGGUUUAACAAUCACACAUAUACAUGUGUUAGAAUGAGGCGCACUAAAUGCACGGCUAGGUGAUUGGUAAGUCCUAUGACUGAUGCGGGACCUAGCCAGCCUUAGGUGAUCUAGAAUACAACGGGUCCCUCCCAGCCUCAAGAUCUGCACCGGUCAACUUCUAGUGAUUUAAAGUGUGCGAAAAAAAAGAGAGGCCACACAUGAUGCCUCGAAGUUUGGAAGAUGCGUGAAGGACAAAGAAUUCUUAUUCCUAUCAGCACUUCAGGACAACCCAUUGGGACUAUGUUAGCAAGCUAACAAACUUCUUGGG